UACGUAGGGAGCAAGCGUUGUCCGGAAUCAUUGGGCGUAAAGAGCUCGUAGGCGGUCUGUUGCGUCCGCUGUGAAAACUCGGGGCUUAACCCCGCAGCCUGCAGUGGAUACGGGCAAGCUAGAAUUCGGUAGGGGAGACUGGAAUUCCUGGUGUAGCGGUGAAAUGCGCAGAUAUCAGGAGGAACACCGGUGGCGAAGGCGGGUCUCUGGGCCGAUAUUGACGCUGAGGAGCGAAAGCGUGGGGAGCGAACAGG
rnacentral:rRNA from 1 species